AUCACAAAGCAUUUUAUGAAAAGGUCGAUUCACUGGCCAUGAGAGUCGGCCAUAAUUGGAAGUCAAUAUGACGGAGACCGCAGAGGUUGAUGAUCAUGUUCGCCUAAAGUGGUUGAUACAAAAGAAAUAAAAAAAUCAUUUGCACGUUAAAAGAAAUUAAUAAAUUUUAGUCUGGUACGUAGUUUUAAUGAUGUAAAGAACUUUUUCUUAUUUCAUCUUAGAUUAUAUUAAAAAAUAAAGCUCCA